AUACAGGCUUGUGCAGCGAUGCAGAAUCCUGUCCGUGCACCUUGGAGGCUUUUAGAUGGAGACUGUCAUAGUUACAUCUGGCAGGUCCACUAGUUUCACCUGGCAGGUCCACUAGAGAACACCUGGCAGGUCCAUUAGUUACACCUGGCAGGUCCACUAGUAACACCUGGCAGGUCCACUAGUAACACCUGGCAGGUCCACUAGAGAACACCUGGCAGGUCCACUAGCAGGUCCACUAGUUACACCUGGCAGGUCCACUAGUAACACCUGGCAGGUCCACUAGUCACACCUGGCAGGUCCACUAGUUAUACCUGGCAGGUCCACUAGUUACACCUGGCAGGUCCACUAGUCACACCUGGCAGGUCCACUAGAGACACCUGGCAGGUCCACUAGCAGGUCCACUAGAGAACACCUGGCAGGUCCACUAGCAGGUCCACUAGAGAACACCUGGCAGGUCCACUAGCAGGUCCACUAGAGAACACCUGGCAGGUCCACUAGUUAUACCUGGCAGGUCCACUAGUUACACCUGGCAGGUCCACUAGUCACACCUGGCAGGUCCACUAGUCACACCUGGC
ensembl:lncRNA